rnacentral:rRNA from 1 species
AUUGAACGCUGGCGGCAGGCCUAACACAUGCAAGUCGAACGGUAACAGGAAACCGCUUGCUGUUUCGCUGACGAGUGGCGGACGGGUGAGAAAUGUCUGGGAAACUGCCUGAUGGAGGGGGAUAACUACUGGAAACGGUAGCUAAUACCGCAUAACGUCGCAAGACCAAAGUGGGGGACACUCGGGCCUCUUGCCAUCGGAUUUGCCCCGGUGGGGUUGGCUUGUUGGUGGGGUACCGGCUCACCAAGGCGACGAUCCCUAGCUGGUCUGAGAGGAUGACCAGACACACGGGAACUGAGAGACGGUCCAGACUCCUAGGGGAGGCAGCGGUGGGGAAUAUUGCACAAUGGGCGCAAGCCUGAUGCAGCCAUGCCGCGUGUAUGAAGAAGGCCUUCGGGUUGUAAAGUACUUUCAGCGGGGAGGAAGGGAGUCAAGUUAAUACCUUCGCUCAUUGACGUUACCCGCAGAAGAAGCACCGGCUAACUCCGUG